CCCAAGGGACAGUGUCUCUCUGGAAUUAAUACUUGAGGUUUAGCUGUCAGAACAGAACAGAAACCCUCCCACUCCCCAUGUGUCAAAAAUUCCUCAAAAUUUAAGAUUUUUCUCAAAAAAUCAAGUUCCCAUUUGUGCCAAAUUUUCUAAGUCUCUAAAAUGCAGAUCACGGACACUGGAUGCAAAGUGAUGCAGCAGCGGCACUGCUCAGGUGCAAUCGAGGCACCAUGAGCACCGGGAAGGACGGCAGGAAGUGGUUUCCUGGUCUGUCGGGGGCGGCGGGGGCAUUUAUUUGCUUUCUUUAUUUUUGAUUACAGAUGAGCUGUUCAAGCUGUCCUGUCCCCGAAGCAGUGUGGGGCCUCUUGCCCCUGGCUAGGGAAGUGAUUCCUAGAUGAGGUGGUGCUCCCCACAUGCCACCGCCCUCCUCACUUGCCCACCCGCCCAGGACUCCUGGGCCGUCUGCCUUUCUUCCACCAGGACCCAGGCGGUGGUGUACCCUGUGCUGGGCCUGCCCUCUCAGCCGCACGCAUCCAGCGGGGAGAGGCUCAUGUGGUCCCAGGCCCUGCUCAGGACCCACCAGAUAAGGCGUUCAUUUAUGGGUGGAGGAGGCCACGCUCAUUUCAGUUAUUACCUGACAGGAGGGAAAAGACAGACAUGCCGAACAGUUUGUAUGUGUAUAUGGAAUAUAUUUCCACUGGACUUUGCAACCAAAAUCCACAUCUUGUUUUAAAAACUACAUCCAUCUAUCAAUCCCCAUUAGAAAAAAUAUAAUUUAUAGGGACAAAAA